rnacentral:piRNA from 1 species
UAGUAAACAAUAAAGAUUGCCUCUCUC